UACAGAGGGUGCGAGCGUUGUCCGGAAUCACUGGGCGUAAAGGGCGCGUAGGUGGCGCGACAAGUCAGUGGUGAAAGCUCGACGCUUAACGUCGAGUCGGCCACUGAUACUGUUGGGCUUGAGCACUGUAGAGGCUAAUGGAAUUCCGGGUGUAGCGGUGGAAUGCGUAGAGAUCCGGAAGAACACCGGUGGCGAAGGCGGCCGGCUGGGGGUGACCUGACGCUGAGGCGCGAAAGCGUGGGGAGCGAACCGG
rnacentral:rRNA from 1 species